AUAUACAUUUUGUUUUAUCUCAUUCAAGGAAGUUGAUUCCAGCUAACUUAAGACAGAUACGAGUGUUUUUUGUUUGUUGGUUUUAUUAAGGGUAACCAAGGUACCGAAAAGGGAAGUUUUGUGAUUUGGUUUUACAUGGAAAUAGUUUCUGUCUUGUAAUAGUUGAAAGAUUUAUUAUUCAGAUUAAGGUGUUUGUAACUGCACAACUAAGUUGAUCUUUAACUAGAGAAAUAAUUUAAGUUUAUGAACACAUUUAAAGGGUGUGUGUUUAAAUUAGGCUAAAUCUACAUACUUCUAACGUAAAGAUAAUUAAGCUAAAGUUAAACAAUAAACCCCAAAGGAUCUAAACAAAAUGGACAAUGACAUGGCCAUGCAGGAAGACUGUGACCACAAGUGAAGCUUUUUCAGCAGAAGGCUUUAGGAAAAGUGCAAGACAGAAAAAACUCAAUGAAAAGGGUCAAGUGCUGCGUCAAGAAAAGAUGAACAGACUUCAUUCUCGUUUCAAGCUCAGUUAUGACAAAUGGAAAACUGCUGCUAAACAAGCCAAAAGAGCUCUUGAUGCAUCUAUAAAAACAAGUUUGCACAGAAGCUGGUUCUUUGUGCACUUCAACAACUUCCCAAAGUUCCAAACAGUCAAGUAGUGCGCAUUCAAGCCACUCAAGUAAGCUGUCUGUCAAAAGGCAAGAAGCAGCAGCAGAACUGGCUGCCAUGGAAGCAAGCUUCCUGAUUGGCUUACAGCAAGAUGGAAUAGGAAAGUUAUUCAGAUUGAAGAGGAGUGUGGUUCAUUUCCAACAUUUAGUAACUUUGUUGACUUUGUCACAAGAGAGGCAAAAAUAGCAUGUAACCCAGUGACGUCGCUACAUGCGCUUAAAGCAAAUGCUUCAGAGAAAACAAAGCUCAUAAAGGCUAGCAGUGUUGGGGCAAACGCAUUUGCAAGCAGCACAGAAGAGAAAACAGAAACAAACAAAUGUGUAUUCUGUGGGAGAUUAAAUCACAACAUUCAGACAUGUCAAAAUUUCAUGGAAAAGACAAUCACUGAAAGAGUGAAGUUUGUAAAAUUAAAGGGACUGUGUUUUAGAUGUCUCUGCUAUGGACAUCAAUCCAAGAAAAGAGAAGUAUCUGCAACACCUGCAAGAAAAAACACCCAAUAUGUCUACAUGAAGAACGAGACAAGGAAGACAAAAAAA